AUUUAGUUGUGAGGUUGUAGUCAUGUGGUCUGCCCAGUUCAAUUGAUUGUGCAAUGUUAUUGUGUCUAACUAUGCCGUUUCUUAGAUUUCUUUUUUUUUAAAUCAAAUUUUGACAAAAUUCUUAUUUGGUUACAUAACUUGCAACUUAUUAUCACAUCAUUGGGGUCUAAUGUGGAAUAUCUGGAGUAGGGUGGGUUUUGGAGGAUAAAGUGUCACAAUAAUUUAACAAAUUUAUAGAUUAGAAUUUAUAUGAGGACCAUGAGGUCUAAGAAUUUGACAGAUUUGAAUAUGUAGAGUGUAUUUAUGCAUGAACAAUGGAUUGUGUGAUGGAUUUAGGUUGGGCUUAAAUGAUAAAUGAAUUAAAAUUCCUUUGGGCAGCAAGCAUGCUGUAUGUUUUUGGUAAGUGGUCGAGGCCUUACUUCACCAGAAAUUAUGUAAGUGGUCCCGCUUUUCUCCUCUCUUCUUUUUAUUUUUCUCGCGCCUAAUGAACAUAUAUUUAUAUUUGCUUUGUAACAAAAUCUGCACCCAAUUAGCUUAGUUUAGGUUGGGAUGUGUCACUCUAGAACCUUGCAUAACCAAUUUUAUGAGCAGAAAACACAUCUAAGUACUCAAAGAUUCUGGUAAUGAGGUUGGGUUGAGUGCAGCUUACCCAAGAUUCAUUUGUUUUCCCAAGUCCCAAAUGGCAAAUACUCAUGUUUCUCUUAAAAUAAUGUUGACUGGCAUCUAGUUGUGUUCAAAGCUAAAAUUAUUACAAUUUUAUGUGUCAAUACAAGUUUUGCAGAAUGUACAGCUAACCUACAUGGCAAAUGGGGUAAAACAAACUAUGUGGAAAAUUUAUUGGAUUUUUCUUUGAAAAGUAAUCCUUGUGAAGGUUAUGUUUGCAGGUGAUCUUGCAUAUAUGUUAUCCGUUGACAUGUAUAAAGGUCUUUCAGGGCGAACGUUGACUCUAAAACUGAAAACAUCAUCAUUUGAGAACCAAAGCUAUGACUUUACAACAGUAUAUUUGCUCAAGCGAUAAUAUUUUGAAAUACGCUUCAAAUCUGGUAAAGGCUGAACUUGAUAGUGAUGAAUUGUUUUGAAGUGUUUUGGAGUUGUAGGGAGUUUGUAAAGUAUGACGAUGAUGUUGGUUUAAUA